UACGAAGGGGGCUAGCGUUGCUCGGAAUCACUGGGCGUAAAGCGCACGUAGGCGGCUUUCUAAGUCAGGGGUGAAAUCCUGGAGCUCAACUCCAGAACUGCCUUUGAUACUGGGAAGCUCGAGUCCGGGAGAGGUGAGUGGAACUCCGAGUGUAGAGGUGAAAUUCGUAGAUAUUCGGAAGAACACCAGUGGCGAAGGCGGCUCACUGGCCCGGUUCUGACGCUGAGGCGCGAAAGCGUGGGGAGCAAACAGG
rnacentral:rRNA from 1 species